rnacentral:rRNA from 1 species
GCCUACGGGAGGCAGCAGUGGGGAAUAUUGGACAAUGGGCGAAAGCCUGAUCCAGCAAUGCCGCGUGAGUGAUGAAGGCCUUAGGGUUGUAAAGCUCUUUUACCCGGGAUGAUAAUGACAGUACCGGGAGAAUAAGCUCCGGCUAACUCCGUGCCAGCAGCCGCGGUAAUAAUCGA